GCAAAUCCUGAUGUAAAGGUCUCAUCUAACACUCCAAUGUCAUGUCUAUCUGCUUCCCUCAAUGACUAUGGGCUAACUCUGAAACUCCCACCAACCAAAAUAUCAUCAGCAAAAUAUCUUCCAACGUGUCUGCUUCGCAAAAUGUCUUAAGAGUUUCCAGAAAAACAUCACAACUGGGUCUUUAAGGAGACCAGAAAUUUCCACUUCAAGUUGGUACCACUUCUUAUCAGCAUCAGAACUUGGGAGAGCAGAGUCACACUUCCUUGGAAAUGAAUCAGAUGAGCACUGAAACAAACAGCUGGAUUUCUAGAUGUCCCAUACCGAAAAGGACUCUCCAUAUCACUGUUUUAUUUUAGGAAUCCAUACACCUGCAGAUGCCUUGCAAAAGAGUUUUCAGCAAUGUCUUCUUUCACUUUGUCUGGGGUGGGAGAUGCUUG
rnacentral:lncRNA from 1 species